rnacentral:rRNA from 1 species
CCUACGGGAGGCAGCAGUGGGGAAUAUUGCACAAUGGGGGAAACCCUGAUGCAGCGACGCCGCGUGAAGGAAGAAGUAUUUCGGUAUGUAAACUUCUAUCAGCAGGGAAGAAAAUGACGGUACCUGACUAAGAAGCCCCGGCUAACUACGUGCCAGCAGCCGCGGUAAUACGUAGGGGGCAAGCGUUAUCCGGAUUUACUGGGUGUAAAGGGAGCGUAGGCGGCGAUGCAAGUCAGAAGUGAAAGCCCGGGGCUAAACUCCGGGACUGCUUUUGAAACUGGGUUGCUAGAGUGCAGGAGAGGUAAGUGGAAGUCCGAGUGUAGCGGGGAAAUGCGUAGAUAUUAGGAGGAACACCAGUGGCGAAGGCGGCUUACUGGACUGUAAAUGACGCUGAGGCUCGAAAGCGUGGGGAGCAAACAGGAUUAGAUACCCUUGUAGUC